rnacentral:rRNA from 1 species
AUGGUCCAAAUACUGUCCUUGAUCCAGAACGGAGAUGGUAGUCUGAGUAGCAUGCCCUACAUACCAGCAGGCUUCACAAACCUAAAGGCAAAGUACCAUAGAGAGAGCAGGUUGGCUGACAUAGAAGACACAAUAGCCUAUUUCGAAGAGAAAGCAAAAGCAGAUACUGAUUUCUUCUCUAGGAUAAGAUUGGAUGAUGAGGACCGUGUUAGAAACAUGUGGCAUAUUAUUAAGAAGGCUAAGGAGACGCUAGGACCUUUCUUUGCUGGCCGUCUAGAGCUACACAAGGCAUUCGAGUUGUGCCUGGACUACAGCUUGAUGGUGGGGGAGUUUGAACGGAGCUGGACGGCUAUGAUUCAAACAUACCAAUGCAACGAGGGGUUCAAUGCUGUUUUGAUGCCGUACAUGAGCCCUGGCAACUCAUUGCUACAGUUUGCCAAGCAAUACACAGCUUUGCAACAGAAAAUACUGGGAUCUGAGCUACAGCAAGAAGCAAACACCAUGCUGAAGCAACCUAAAUUGCUAACAUAUUUGCCGAUGGAGAGGCAGAUGAGCAAGAUAUAUACCAACAAGAUUUUUAACAAAUUCCAGGAAGAAAUAAAGCGUGCUAGCAUGUACACAGCUUACCAAGUUGACGAACAUACAUUCAAGGUGUGUUCUCUAAUGGGCAUGUCCAAUUCAGAACCUGAAGACCCGGACAAGGGAAGAAACUACUUUGUCAAGGCCUUGAUAAACGAAGGCGAAUACUACUGCCAAUGCUGCAAAUUCGAAAGGGACGGGAUUGUGUGCUGUCACAUACUCAAAAUAAUGGACAUGCACGCGGUCACGCGAUUGCCCCGCCAUUUCAUAAGACGGCGAUGGACUUGGGAUGCUGACGAUGCGUUGGGGCCACAAACAUCAAUUGCAGUUUUGGCUGUGCAUGAUGACAGACCAGAGGCAACCAUGGACGCUGUGAGGCACGUUGUCUUAACCAAGAACUAUGCUGAGCUAAUAGGUGAAGCAUACAAGAGUGAUGAGACAGCAAGGGUGGUAGAAAAACAUAGGAAGGCCCUGAAAAGAGAGCUUGAUGAGAUCAAAAAUAGGAAGGCUGAAGAAGCCUUACACAGGUUCCUCCGCACCUCAAGUGUGCCUUCGUCCACGGGUCCAUCCUCUGAAAACUCGGAGGUAGGGUUUGGAACAGCAAGCACACAAACCCAGGUCGGGAACCCGCCCCAUUCCAUCACAAAAGGGCCUCCAAAAGAGAUGAGAUACAAAUCGGGGUUGGAAAUUCAAGCAAAGCACAAGAAAACAAAGAAAGGAACGGGCAAUCCCUGUGACCAUAGGGACCCAUCGACCUUCCCACUUUGCAAGGUUGUUGAUGAAGAAUUCAACAUGUGUAGUAAGGUCUGCGUCUUCUCCUGA